UACGUAGGGGGCAAGCGUUAUCCGGAUUUACUGGGUGUAAAGGGAGCGUAGGCGGCGAUGCAAGUCAGAAGUGAAAGCCCGGGGCUCAACUCCGGGACUGCUUUUGAAACUGUGUUGCUAGAUUGCAGGAGAGGUAAGUGGAAUUCCUAGUGUAGCGGUGAAAUGCGUAGAUAUUAGGAGGAACACCAGUGGCGAAGGCGGCUUACUGGACGGCAACUGACGCUGAGGCUCGAAAGCGUGGGGAGCAAACAGG
rnacentral:rRNA from 1 species